AAAGUCCUUGAGUUAAGAGAGCUUUCAAAAUAUUCAACAAUUUAAGCACAACUCUCUUCCUCACCAAUCUCACUUAUUCCCAACUUUUUCCCCUUUUUCUUUUUCAUUGAGCUCCUCUUCAUGUUUUUCUUCUUUUCUUUUCUUUUUCUCAUGAAUUUUUCUUUUCACAACAUUCGAGCUCAAUGUUUCCCCCAUACAACCCCAAACUUGAACCUUUUCAUCAUAUACGAUUAAGCUCAUCCCAAC
rnacentral:lncRNA from 1 species